UCGAGGAUCUUCGGCAAUGGGCGCAAGCCUGACCGAGCGACGCCGCGUGUGCGAUGAAGGCCUUCGGGUUGUAAAGCACUGUCGAGGGGGAGGAAAGCCGUAAGGUUUGACCUAUCCCUGGAGGAAGGACGGGCUAAGUUCGUGCCAGCAGCCGCGGUAAGACGAACCGUCCUAACGUUGUUCGGAAUCACUGGGCUUAAAGGGCGCGUAGGCGGGUCAUCAAGUCCGGGGUGAAAUCUUUCGGCUCAACCGGAAAAGUGCCUUGGAUACUGGUGGCCUUGAGGGAGGUAGGGGCAUGCGGAACUUCCGGUGGAGCGGUGAAAUGCGUUGAUAUCGGAAGGAACUCCGGUGGCGAAAGCGGCGUGCUGGACCUCUUCUGACGCUGAGGCGCGAAAGCUAGGGGAGCGAACG
rnacentral:rRNA from 1 species